UAUCUCUGUAGAGUCUGCAUAUCAAUAAGCGGAGGAAAAGAAACUAACAAGGAUUCCCUUAGUAACGGCGAGUGAAGCGGGAAGAGCUCAAAUUUGAAAUCUUCAAGGUUUUACCUUGACGAAUUGUAGUUUAAAGAAGUGUUUUCUGUUGAAGUUUCGGUAAAAGUUCUUUGGAAUAGGACAUCAUAGAGGGUGAGAAUCCCGUAUUUGACCGUUAUUUUCAGCUGUGUGAUACACUUUCAAAGAGUCGGAUUGUUUGGGAAUGCAGUCCAAAAUGGGUGGUAAAUUUCAUCUAAAGCUAAAUAUUGGCGAGAGACCGAUAGCGAACAAGUACCGUGAGGGAAAGAUGAAAAGAACUUUGAAAAGAGAGUUAAACAGUACGUGAAAUUGUCAAGAGGGAAGCGUUUGACACCAGUGUUGUUUUUCCAAAAAUCAAUUACGAAUGGCUUGAUUUUGUGUUGUAUUGACCUUAUUAGCUUUCUUCACUUUUUUCGAGUCUUUCUUAAUGCACUUUUCGGUUAACAAGUCAACAUCAAUUUCUUUUGUUGUAAAAGAGUCAUUGGAAGGUGGCUUUCACUUCGGUGAAAGUGUUUAUAGCCUUUGGCUUCUGCAAUCGGAGAGAUUGAGGUCUGCAGCGUAGAUCCUUCGGGGCUAGAUACGUAGAUGCUAAGUUAUAGUUUUUUAUAGACAACUUGUUGACUAUAAUUAAUCAUGUAGCUUACUCGUUUGCGCUAUUUUACCUACGCUUAGGAUGUUGAAGAUGUAGCACAUCAU
rnacentral:rRNA from 1 species